rnacentral:rRNA from 1 species
UACGGAGGAUGCAAGCGUUAUCCGGAUUCAUUGGGUUUAAAGGGUGCGUAGGCUGACUAUUAAGUCAGUGGUGAAAGCCUGCAGCUUAACUGCAGAACUGCCAUUGAUACUGAUAGUCUUGAGUUUGGUUAAGGUAGGCGGAAUGUGUAAUGUAGCGGUGAAAUGCUUAGAUAUUACACAGAACACCAAUUGCGUAGGCAGCUUACUGAGCCGACACUGACGCUGAGGCACGAAAGCGUGGGGAUCGAA